ACUCACCGCUAGCCCGCAGCGCUCGGCUUCCUGGUAACUCUUCACCUCUUCUCUCAGCUCCCGGCAGCAUGGGUCCUGGGCCCGCCUCGCUGCUCGCCGCCCUCCUGCUGCUUCUCUCCGGCGACCGCGCCGUGCGCUGCGACACACCUGCCAACUGCACCUAUCUUGACCUGCUGGGUACCUGGGUCUUCCAGGACCACAAGAAAAAAAAGUAGUGGUGCACCUUCAGAAGCUGGAUACAGCAUAUGAUGACCUUGGCAAUUCUGGCCAUUUCACCAUCGUUUACAACCAAGGCUUUGAGAUUGUGUUGAAUGACUACAAGUGGUUUGCCUUUUUUAAGUAUAAAGAAGAGGGCAGCAAGGUGACCACUUACUGCAACGAGACAAUGACUGGGUGGGUGCAUGAUGUGUUGGGCCGGAACUGGGCUUGUUUCACCGGAAAGAAGGUGGGAACUGCCUCUGAGAAUGUGUAUGUGAACACAGCACACCUUAAGAAUUCUCAGGAAAAGUAUUCUAAUAGGCUCUACAAAUAUGAUCACAACU
rnacentral:sRNA from 1 species